rnacentral:rRNA from 1 species
UUGAACGCUGGCGGCAUGCCUUACACAUGCAAGUCGAACGGUAACGGGUUAAGCCGACGAGUGGCGAACGGGUGAGUAAUAUAUCGGAACGUGCCCAAUCGUGGGGGAUAACGCAGCGCAAGUUGUGCUAAUACCGCAUAAGAUCUACGGAUGAAAGCGGGGGAUCGCAAGACCUCGCGCGAGUGGAGCGGCCGAUAUCAGAUUAGCUAGUUGGUGGGGUAAAGGCCCACCAAGGCGACGAUCAGUAGCGGGUCUGAGAGGAUGAUCCGCCACACUGGAACUGAGACACGGUCCAGACUCCUACGGGAGGCAGCAGUGGGGAAUUUUGGACAAUGGGGGCAACCCUGAUCCAGCCAUUCCGCGUGAGUGAAGAAGGCCUUCGGGUUGUAAAGCUCUUUCAGCUGGAACGAAACGGUAGUCUCUAACAUAGGCUGCUAAUGACGGUACCAGCAGAAGAAGCACCGGCUAACUACGU